CCAUGGUCUCACCUGUCAGUGGACUUCCUGACCGAUCUCCCUCCGUCUCAGGGGAACACUACGGUUCUGGUCGUUGUGGAUCGGUUUUCAAAGUCAUGCCAUCUCCUCCCGUUGCCCGGUCUCCCUACGGCUCUGCAGACUGCGGAGGCCCUAUUUACCCACGUCUUCCGGCACUAUGGGGUGCCGGAGGACAUUGUCUCUGAUCGAGGUCCCCAGUUCACGCCCAGGGUAUGGAAGGCGUUUAUGGAGCAUCUGGGGGUCUCGGUUAGCUUGACCUCCGGUUAUCACCCCGAGAGUAAUGGGCAGGCGGGGAGGGUGAACCAGGAGGUGGGCAGGUUUCUGCGGUCGUAUUGCCAGGACCGGCCAGGGGAGUGGGCGAGGUACAUUCCAUUGGCUGAGUUGGACCAGAACUCACUUCGUCACUCCUCCACUAACCUGUCACCUUUUCAGUGUGUGUUGGGUUACCAGCCGGUCCUGGCACCAUGGCACCAGAGCCAGACCGAGGAUCCUGCGGUGGAGGACUGCGUGCAGCGCUCCAAGGAGACCUGGAGAGCCGUCCAGGAAUCUCUGAAGCAAGCCAGUGGAAGGCAGAAGAGGAGUGCUGACCGCCACCGCAGUGAGGCCCUCGUGUUCGUACCGGGGGACAGGGUCUGGCUUUCGACCCGGAACCUGCCCCUCCGCUUGCCCUGCCGGAAGCUGGGGCCACAGUGUGUGAGGCCCUUCAAAGUCCUGAGGAGGAUAAACGAGGCACAGAUCUAGGAUCAGCGCAUCCUCUCCAAAUCCUGACAUUAAAUCAAGGGGGGAAAUGGAAACAUGAGUUCAGAUCAGUGUCUCAGGACAACAUCAUCCUACUUCCUUUGGUCAACUGAAGGACCCCAGAAUACAGCACUACUCUGGAUGAAUGGAGUUUGUUUGGGUUGCCAGCACCAGGCAACCAGUGUCUGCCAGGAAUCACAGACCAGUUGGGGGAAGACUCUUUGAAGAUUUCCUCCCCGAUCCACAGAGUACAAGCUCAUUGUCUCUCAAACAGGCAUUUUUCUGUCAGGGAAAGCUGUUCAUUUGGACCCA
rnacentral:lncRNA from 1 species